GGCUACAUGAUCAAAUGGUUAAGAUGCAACUCCUUCACAGUUGAAAUAUCGGUUCAAUUCCGAUUGUAGUCA
rnacentral:tRNA from 1 species